rnacentral:rRNA from 1 species
CCUACGGGAGGCAGCAGUGGGGAAUUUUGGACAAUGGGCGCAAGCCUGAUCCAGCAAUGCCGCGUGCAGGAUGAAGGCCUUCGGGUUGUAAACUGCUUUUGUACGGAACGAAACGGUGAGCUCUAAUACAGUUUGCUAAUGACGGUACCGUAAGAAUAAGCACCGGCUAACUACGUGCCAGCAGCCGCGGUAAUACGUAGGGUGCGAGCGUUAAUCGGAAUUACUGGGCGUAAAGCGUGCGCAGGCGGUGAUGUAAGACAGAUGUGAAAUCCCCGGGCUCAACCUGGGACCUGCAUUUGUGACUGCAUCGCUAGAGUACGGUAGAGGGGGAUGGAAUUCCGCGUGUAGCAGUGAAAUGCGUAGAUAUGCGGAGGAACACCGAUGGCGAAGGCAAUCCCCUGGACCUGUACUGACGCUCAUGCACGAAAGCGUGGGGAGCAAACAGGAUUAGAUACCCUGGUAGUCCACGCCCUAAACGAUGUCAACUGGUUGUUGGGUCUUCACUGACUCAGUAACGAAGCUAACGCGUGAAGUUGACCGCCUGGGGAGUCGGCCGCAAGGUUGAACUUAAGGAAUUGACGGNNGAGAGNGCGAGGACGACGACGAGGGAGGAG